AGGAUGCUCUUUUCUGACUCUAUUUUGUCGGCGAACAUGGAUCUAGUGCACGGUGGUUCAUGAUUAAGUUCGUGACUAGAUUUCAUGCUCGUCUAUUAAGUUGGGUCAGCACAACGAAGAGAGC
rnacentral:pre_miRNA from 15 species